AAUACCGCAUGAUGUCGCAAGACCAAAGUGGGGGACCUUARGGCCUCACGCCAUGAGAUGAACCCAGAUGAGAUUAGCUAGUAGGUGCGGUAAUGGCGUACCUAGGCGACGAUCUCUAGCUGGUCUGAGAGGAUGACCAGCCACACUGGAACUGAGAGACGGUCCAGACUCCUACGGGAGGCAGCAGUGGGGAAUAUUGCACAAUGGGCGGAAGCCUGAUGCAGCCAUGCCGCGUGUGUGAAGAAGGCCUUAGGGUUGUAAAGCACUUUCAGCGGGGAGGAAGGCGGUAAGAGUAAUAUGCUUAUCRAUUGACGUUACCCGCAAAAGAAGCACCGGCUAACUCCGUGCCAGCAGCCGCGGUAAUACGGAGGGUGCGAGCGUUAAUCGGAAUAACUGGGCNUAAAGRGCAUNUAGGCGGUAAGUUA
rnacentral:rRNA from 1 species